UCAUGGUGUUACUAGUAGGACUUUAUUGAAGUCAGGUUUUUGUAGUGUUUCUGGGUUUCCUGUCACUGUGGGCCUCAGAGCACAGUAGUACAGAGCAGAGUCUGUCACUUCAACAGAGGAGAUCUCCAGAUACACACAGGUUCUCUCCUUGUUCAGUGUAACAGACAGUAGAAUGUCUUGAGAAUCGUCUCUCACUUCAUAUGGAUUACUGGUAGCUGUGACCAGGUAAAGGAAUUGGAGACCUGUUCCAGAAUAAUGUGUGUACCACAGCAGACUAUCUGCUUUUACUGUAUAGUUACAGGAGAUCUUAACUCUGUUACCCUCUAAAUAAUACUCCUCAGGACUGGUUGGAGUAAUAUCAUCCUCUAAAGUAUCACCUACAAAAGAUGAAAUCAGUAGAAUAUAACAGAGUAGCAUCAUGGUCUAUGUUACAGAUCAGACAUUAAUGUGUUAUUUAGAAACAGCAAAGCCAAAACUCUGCUAUGACUCUGAAAUGAUAAGUAGGCGUAUACAAUGUUACUCCUCCUCUUUACAUAGGUUCUUAAACACCCCCACCAGGUUUCCUGUCAAAAAGAAAAACCUUGAGGUGCACCAUCUCCUGUAGGUCAUGUCAUGUACAUAUAGAAUGUGUCAGGUUAGGUUUUUGUACAGCGUUUGUAGGUUUCCUUUCACUGUGGGCGUCAGAGCACAGCAGUACAUAGCAGAGUCUUUCUCUUUAGCAGAGAAGAUCUCCAGAUCCACACAGUUCUUCUCAGCAUUCAGUUUCACUGACAGUCGAGGAUCCAGACCUGGAGCCCGUGAUGGAGACCCAACACCAUGCAGGAUAAGCAGGAUAUACUGAGGAGCUGAUCCAGGGUCCUGGCGAUACCAUUGAAGAGAGACUGCAGAUGAGUAGGUCAACAGAGUUGGCAGAAGGACCUGACCUGUCUACUGUGAUGUCAUUGGGGAAACAUUGCUUGAAGGGCAUAUCUGUAAGAUAAUUCAUCUAUUCAUCUUAAGGCAAUUCAUUAAUAUACAGGCAUUUUUGUUUUCAUCUUUAUAGCUAUAAUUUACAGUAUAAAUCUGCAACAUAUUUGGAUCACCGAAUGAGUUUCUGUCACUUUUUCAUUUGUUCAUUUGUUUCAACAAAUAAUUCACUGUUCAUUUCCAGCCUACAUUAUUUUUUUUGUCUAUUUAAGGUAGCCUAAUAAUUGACAUGUUUCUCUUAGGGGAUGUUGGUGUUUUCAGUUCACAUUUUUGUACAGUGUGUCUGGGUUUCAUUUCAUUGUGGGCUCGAGGGCACAGUAGUAAAGAGCAGAAUCUGCCACUUCAGCAGAGGAGAUCUCCAGAUCUACACAGGUUCUCUCAUUGUUCAGUUUAACAGACAGUCGAGGGUCUUCAGGUUUAGCUUUCACUACAGAGGGGUUUGAGGACACUCCAGUGAGGAAGAGGAAGAUUGGAGAUGAUCCAGGGUACUGUUGAUACCACUGGAGAGUACUAGCAGAGGAGUAAUUACAGGACAGAUUUAUGACAUCACCCUCCAACCUAACAUCUUAUCUGUUGUUGGAGUAAUGUCAUUCCCAUAACUGCCACCUGUAAAACAUUCAUGAAAACAGGAAUUGUUAUCAGGAAAUUAUUAUAAAAUUUAAAUCAUUAUUCAGUCAAGUGCAUUAAAAAUGGACAGAAGAUCCUUCACAGGAAUAUGACUCCAGUCAUCAGUAACUACUGUUAGAUUCUGGGUGAAACUUGGAACAUUGGUAUAUUCAUAAGGAUAGUGUCCAACCGUGAACGAGACUAGUUUUUACAUCAGAAGUUAAUGGUUAUCUGUAGGAGUCAGAUGGCUUUGGAAUGUGUAGGGGAGACGGGUGGAGAUCUUAGAACCUAACAAUGUCACUGAGGGAGAGAGGGUAAUGUAUAACGUUUACAUUAUGUCAGGAUAUGUUAUUGUUAGCCAUCAGGGUUCCUCUGGGAGGAGAAAAGACACAGUCUGGUAUCAAUAACCAUGACAGCCUUGAGUUGGGGAGGAGUGAGCACUUUGGGGUAGAGGUCAGGUUAGAUGAAGUGAGGAAGAACAGAUAUCACUAAGGUUCUGUCUAGCAACAGUGAUGCAUUGGCUGUUCAGUUGUGGAGAAGGAGACUCAGCCUUGGAGAAAGGGUUAAAUAUCAGUUCAUGUAUGAAAUGUUGUUUGUCUGAAUGCAGCUGUAUCGACCCUUUGGGAAGAAUUAAACUUGGUUAAGCUUC